rnacentral:rRNA from 1 species
UGGGGAAUAUUGGACAAUGGGGGGAACCCUGAUCCAGCCAUGCCGCGUGUGUGAAGAAGGCCUUAUGGUUGUAAAGCACUUUAAGCGAGGAGGAGGGUACUGGUAUUAAUACUACCAGGUACUGGACGUUACUCGCAGAAUAAGCACCGGCUAACUCUGUGCCAGCAGCCGCGGUAAUACAGAGGGUGCGAGCGUUAAUCGGAUUUACUGGGCGUAAAGCGCGCGUAGGUGGUUCGUUAAGUUGAAUGUGAAAGCCCCGGGCUCAACCUGGGAACUGCAUCCAAAACUGGCGAGCUAGAGUAGGGCAGAGGGUGGUGGAAUUUCCUGUGUAGCGGUGAAAUGCGUAGAUAUAGGAAGGAACACCAGUGGCGAAGGCGACCACCUGGGCUCAUACUGACACUGAGGUGCGAAAGCAUGGGGAGCAAACAGG